AUGGUGCCUAGAUUUGAAGCUCGGUGGCUGGAGGAAGAAGAAUGUAAGGAGAUCAUUAAAGAAGAAUGGGAGAGGGAGAUAGGGGAGAAUCAGCAGAGGGUGGGGGAGGCACUGAAGGGAGUUAUGAGCAAGCUAUGUAUAUGGAAUAAAAAUGUCCUUGGGGACAUUGAGAAGAGGAUCUCCCGGCUGAAGAAAGAACUGGAAACUUGUAGGAGGAGACAAAUUGGGCCAGAUCAUGUUAAAAGAGAAGGGUUACUCCGGUUUAAACUUGCAAGACUCGAGGAACAACGUGAGCUUUAUUGGAAGCAGAGGGCUCAUGUUGACUGGCUUAAAUGGGGGGAUAGAAAUACAAAAUUUUUACAUGCCUAUGCUUCGGAGAGGAGAAGGGUGAACAGAAUAAAGAAG
rnacentral:rRNA from 1 species